ACCAAAACAUUCUCAAUUUUGGACCUAUGGGCUGUGCCUAUCUGCAUUACGGCUCUGCAUGGAAAAGUAUUGCCAGAGGAAAUUGAAAAAUCUGAUUGUGAGACUACACAAAGGUGGAAAACGAUACAGGAAGAUCUGUGAUCAACUAAAAAUCAGUCAAAACACAGUUGCAGCAGCAAUCAGAAGGUAUAAAACGAGUUAAAGCGUCACUAAUCAGAGCUGCAGUGGCCGUCCUCCUAAUGACCACGGACCGUGUGCCGGAACAAUCUACGGGGCAAGUGCUUCAAACUUGGCACAGGGGUCAUCAAUGGAAAUUUGAGUUUCUGGGACAGCUCAGACAGGAAGCAAAGGACAUUGCAUAAAGUCAGCCUCUAUAGACGGCAUCCGAGAAAAAAAAUCCUUGCUUGCUCUUCACGUACUAACUGACACUCAGAUAUGUCAAUCAUGGAGCUGAUUUUUUUUUUUCCCCGAAUGAUAACGAGCAACUUCGGGUAGAAGAAAUAUCUGUUUCCAUCGCACAUCACAUUAUUUGUGCUUUCCCGAAUAAUGUAUUCGGAUGCACGUACAUCCCUUCUGCAUUUCUACAAUAUCUUCAAAACUAGGACUAGAGCUCACAAGACCCCCCCUCCCCCCCCAUCCAUCCAUUUUCCUUCUGAAUUUAUUUCUCAGUGUUUGGACCGACCACUGCUGAGAAGUUCUCUCGUUCCAAUCCUGCCCCAGUUGCUCAUCAGCGAGAGCGGUGAAUCUCAACACAUUCCUCUGUUUAAUAUUCUUAUCUCUCUCCCCCCGCUGCAGCAUGCCUGGUGCCCGUGGCGAAGCCCCUCCGUCUAUCUCCAUGCUGAGCAGGUCCCUCACUGACAGAGCUGUAUCUGUACAGAUAGGAGAUCUGUGAAACGUGCCGACUCAUGAAAUCCCCUGGCCUUUGAUAACUGGUUAUCAGCCAGUCAAAUGUGUCCAUUCCAUUUCCCUCAUUGUCCUGUCUAGGUGUGUAGGGGCAACAUGGCUCUCAGUCCUCCUAUUGGCUAGUCCUGGUUCAAACAGAGCAUCUGCCUGUAGUCAGCGCUGGACAACUUUCUCUGCUUGUAGCACUUAUAUCAGUGCCAUAAUGGUCAUCAAUAGUUAAGCACAUUAGCACUGAUACAAACCAGCCGUUCCAAAAUCAGUAGGAAAAAGUCAGGCUCGAGUGUGAUUUAGUUUAGUCUGUAAUAUCUAACCUCUGCAGAUGGUCUCCAGCCAAGGACGAUUUGAUGGGCCCUCGAGUUUAAAUGCACAAAGCUUCUUUUCGCUGCCUCCAGCCGGAUUGAUAGCUUCUCUUCCUCUGUUACUUACAUCAGAGAAGUCAUUCUUCAGCAUUUCAAGCAGCUUUACUGAUCCCUCAAGGAGCAUGUCUAAGGACAUUUACCCACUGGAUAGAUGAAUAGAGUGGUGAACACAGGACAGCAGCUGCCUUCUCUGCACUCCAGGUUUGGCCUCAACAUCAAGGCUGAGCUCACACACAUCUGGUAUAUCUCUUCAAGAUAAAGGCUAUGACAGAUCCAGACUGAAAAUACACCUCUGCUUUUUUUCGCUCUGAUUGAAUCCUCUUGUCCUGGAAACGUGGGAGCCUUCACACAUGAAAGGUGCUGAGCAUCAGAGAGCCAUUGGGCUGCGCUGGAAGGAUUGCUUCAAUCAACCUCCAACCGUAUAAUUACUCAUUUGAUUGGGAUUAAAGUCAACUUGGAAAGCAAGAGUGUGGCCAAUUUCGAAUCAGCAUAUGAAAUGUGAUUAAAUUAAUGGAGAAAAAUUGAAAUAUUAAUGUCUGGAUUGGGAAAGUGGGUCCCAGGUCACAGGCGUGAGUCGGGAGUCGUUUGAACUCCUCCUAAUUAUGGACACACUGGGAAUCAUGGGAAAGUGGAAUAUUAGCUUUCACGCUGCUGACUGUCUUUUUCUCACAAAGCGGCUCUAGCAGAGAGCUCUGCGUAAGCGUAUCUUAGAUCUCUGGCACCGCAUCAACGGUGCCGUUCCACAGUGCAGCGCUCUGACUGUGGGGAGACUAAGCAAAUCACAGACAAUCUAAAAUAAACCAACCUCGACAAGUCCAAAAAAGGCAGCCUUGCAGCUCUCCAGCCGGCCAGCUAGACUGUUUCUCUGUUGGCUGACGCUCUCUGACAGGACUGGAAGAAACGUGCUAUUAAACUUGAAAUGACACACACAAGAGUGACAUUGAAA